rnacentral:rRNA from 1 species
GACGAACGCUGGCGGCGUGCUUAACACAUGCAAGUCGAACGGAAAGGCCCUGCUUUUGUGGGGUGCUCGAGUGGCGAACGGGUGAGUAACACGUGAGUAACCUGCCCUUGACUUUGGGAUAACUUCAGGAAACUGGGGCUAAUACCGGAUAGGAGCUCCUGCUGCAUGGUGGGGGUUGGAAAGUUUCGGCGGUUGGGGAUGGACUCGCGGCUUAUCAGCUUGUCGGUGGGGUAGUGGCUUACCAAGGCUUUGACGGGUAGCCGGCCUGAGAGGGUGACCGGCCACAUUGGGACUGAGAUACGGCCCAGACUCCUACGGGAGGCAGCAGUGGGGAAUAUUGCACAAUGGGCGGAAGCCUGAUGCAGCAACGCCGCGUGCGGGAUGACGGCCUUCGGGUUGUAAACCGCUUUCGCCUGUGACGAAGCGUGAGUGACGGUAAUGGGUAAAGAAGCACCGGCUAGCUACGUG